rfam:Ictidomys tridecemlineatus contig062584, whole genome shotgun sequence.
UGGGGUGCGGCUCAGUGGCAGAGCACCUGCUUAGUGUGCAGGAGGCCCUGGGUUCCAUCCCCCGCCCUGCAA